rnacentral:rRNA from 1 species
GCCGCGUGUGUGAUGAAGGCCUUCGGGUCGUAAAGCACUGUGGGGAGAGACGAAAAAGCGCAUCAGGAAAUGGUUGCGCCUUGACGGUACCUCCUUAGCAAGCACCGGCUAACUCUGUGCCAGCAGCCGCGGUAAUAAUCGAAUUCCCGCGGCC